rnacentral:misc_RNA from 1 species
GAUGAAGAACGCAGCGAAAUGCGAUAAGUAAUGUGAAUUGCAGAAUUCAGUGAAUCAUCGAAUCUUUGAACGCACAUUGCGCCCUCUGGUAUUCCGGGGGGCAUGCCUGUUCGAGCGUCAUUAUAACCACUCAAGCUCUCGCUUGGUAUUGGGGUUCGCGGUUCCGCGGCCCCUAAAAUCAGUGGCGGUGCCUGUCGGCUCUACGCGUAGUAAUACUCCUCGCGAUUGAGUCCGGUAGGUCUACUUGCCAGCAACCCCCAAUUUUUACAGGUUGACCUCGGAUCAGGUAGGGAUACCCGCUGAACUUAAGCAUAUCAAUAAGCAGAGGA